rnacentral:lncRNA from 1 species
GCAGAGAUGUAAGUUCAACAGUAUCCACUUUUAACAGGACAAAGUCAUGCAGACGAGAAGAGUGGCGUUUGCAACAUGAGAAAUGCCUGUGGAGGGUGGAGCCAGUUCGACGGAGAGACACAUCUAACUCUUUUAUUCGGACAUAUGACCUUUGUACAGGCAUAUGUAGGCCAUGUGAUCGUCUCCUGUUUAAACAAACAAUGGUCUGUUAAAAAAGGUUCAUACCAUAUUAGUACAUUUCAUACGCUAAGACUGUUGCGCUCACCUCCACCACAUAGGUCCAAAAU